CCAGCAGCAGCCUCCUGUCCAGAACUGAGCAGAAACAGAUUAUUCACCAAACUGCUGCUGCCGUGAAAGCAGAGCUAGCAAGCUGACUGACUAAAGUAAAUCGUGUCAGUUAUUUAGUCAAGACCAGUUAAUUCAAAAUAUUUACUUAAUUCCAUGCAAUUUACUCUGAUUAACUAUGUUUAACUUGUUGAGUCAGCAAUCUUUGUAACUUUCCAGUCAGAAAGAUUUUAAACAUUACAUUGCGUUCUUUACUACAAACUAUACAAGUCAGUACUAAAAUGUGAGUCAAGUCAACUUAUUUUUUCACAUUUUUGUGAUUUUCUAAAAUAGAGAAUUACAAUUACUACAUUGUUUUGCUGAGAUUAAUUUGAGAUUUAAUUCGGUGCCAUUCAAUUUUUGUGAAACGAAUGACUGUAAAUGUGUCUGCAUUAUUGUGACGCCGUACUACGCAUCGCGUGACAUUGAGAAGACACUUUUGACGUCUUAAUAACCAACACGGCGACACGCGACGGAGAGGAGAUGGGGGUUUCGUCAUUAUUCAGUUUCCGUCAGUUAAAAAAUGGAGAAAGCGUCAAAAUGAAGUCAAAAAUGAAUAAGGAAGCCCUACCCCGUCGGCCACCUCCUUGGACCCUGUUAUGGCUGAUUGAUAUUGGAGUGCCUCGAUCUCGUGGACUUUUCAUUAUCUUAUCGGUGCUGGUUGCCUCAUCGGUGACCCUGGUGACAUCAGCCCCUUCGGAAGACAUCGAACUAGAUGAGAAAGCUAAAGCUAAUCACCGUUUGGAUUCACUAAAUAUCUUGCUUUAUACAAUCCUCCUGAGUUUGACUGUUGUCACCAUCUGGUCAUUCAAGCAUCGACGAAUCCGUUUCCUUCAUGAAACAGGGCUUGCAGUCAUUUAUGGUCUCAUUGUGGGUGCUAUAAUAAAAUAUGCGUCAAAAUCUGGUAGCGUGACACACAUAAAUGUGAUCCCUGCGCCUGGUGAAGAUAGUCAAAUGAAUGGGACACUACUCCCCCCUGAUGCACUAUGGCUUAAUUUUAUGAAACAAGGCCAGAAACCUGAGGAUUUGAGCAAUCAUACCUAUUCCUAUGUAUUCAAAGGAGAAGUCAAAGGGAGUAAUGGACCAAAAGACAAAGAAAUUGAAGAAAAGGCGACAUUUGAUCCCGAGAUCUUUUUCAACAUUCUCUUGCCCCCAAUCAUUUUCAAUGCGGGAUACAGUAUGAAACGCAAAUACUUUUUCAGAAAUCUUGGGACAAUAUUCACCUUAGCAUUCAUUGGAACUACAGUCUCGGCCUUGGUGAUUGGUGGCAUUCUCUACGGUUUCAUAAACCUUCUCCCCACCUCGUCUACUUUUGACUUGGUAGAUCUCAUGUACUUUGGCGGACUUAUAUCAGCUACGGAUCCAGUCACAGUCCUUGCAAUAUUUAACGACUUGCACGUGGAUGUGAACAUGUAUGCUCUUGUCUUUGGCGAGUCAGUUCUUAAUGAUGCCGUCGCUAUUGUCUUGGUCGGUGCUAUUCAAAAUUUUGCUGAAGAAAGUACUGUACAAAGUGGGUCCAAGAUGAUCGCACUGUACGAAUCCUUGGGGGUAUUCGGUUGGACCUUCGGCCUCUCAUUUCUCAUUGGUGCACUGAUGGGUUGCUGUACAGCUUUGUUAACCAAGUUCACUCACAUUAAGGACUUUCCUUUGUUGGAAACUGCACUCUUCGUUCUUAUGUCAUAUAGUACCUUUCUCAUUGCUGAAGCGGCGGAUCUCACAGGAAUUGUUGCUGUACUAUUUUGCGGCAUUUGUCAAGCACAUUAUACUUACAAUAACUUGUCAAGAGAUUCAAGAUUGAGAACUAAGCAGUUGUUUGAACUACUCAACUUUCUGGCAGAAAAUUUCAUUUUCUGUUACAUCGGAGUGUCCAUGUUCACAUUUCCAAAGCACAAUUUCGACUGGAUUUUUAUCUUGGAGGCAUUCCUGGCAAUCAUUGUUGGUCGUGCAGCAAAUAUCUACCCCUUGUCGUUUUUGCUGAAUCUUGGGAGGAAGAAGAAAAUACCCUGGAGUUUCCAACACAUGUUGUUCUUUUCUGGCCUUCGGGGUGCAAUUGCCUUUGCGCUGGCCAUUAGAAAUACACUCUCCCUAGCGAGACAAACACUGCUGACCACAACUAGUGUCAUCGUAAUAGUUACCGUGAUAAUAUGUGGUGGUGGGACCAGUCAACUCUUGAAUUGGCUAAAUAUUCCAGUUGGAGUAGAUGACGAAACGGAGGUUAUGCAACUACAUAUGAGAAGUGUAAGUGAUUCCGACUAUAUUGUAAAUCAAUCGAAUGGUGGUUGUGACCAAGAUCACAAACCUUCCCGAGAAAUGAAAUCCUUCGGACAAUCAAGUUCGAGUUCGACUGGUGGUGGGAUGGCGUCGACGGGUGCUGAGGCUGGUGAUUGCGAAGAGAGAACUGAAAUUCAACUUCUGUUGUACACGCCUUUGGAUGGCAGCCCAAAACCGGACGGAAGUGGAGUUGACCCAUAUGUUGAAGGGACACCACCAGCUCAAACAGACAAAGCUCUGAUGGCACGUUGGUGGCAAAAGUUUGAUCAACGCUACAUGAAGCCCCUACUUACGCACAGCAGACCCACGCUGCUCGAGACAUUGCCAGUGUUUUGCACUCCUAUUGCAAGAAUUUUGACCACGACUGAGCAGCUUACACAAGAACGGGUUGAGCCGAUCAACACGCUUUCUGGCGAACCAACGUUCGCUCAAACAUUUGACGGACAUGAUUAUAGAAGGCCACAGUUGCCUAAGUUUGCGUACGAGCCAUCAGUUCUGUGACCUUUUUGUAGACCAGAUGAGUGUUGUAAGCAGCGCGACGUGCCUGUUGUCUUUUGUGUCAGCAGAACGUUAAAGGAUUACCAAAUUGGAACCAAAAUUCUAAUCCCUGGAAUUGAUGGAGAUUCAAUCUAAUUUACAAGAAAUAUUGCUUUAGUUUACUGAAAUUUCAAGGUUAUUACAUACAACGUAGUAUACAGAUUCAAACUGUUUGUGAUAUACUAAUUUUGAGAACCUCCUAGUAGAUUAUACUAUUGAGAAUAUUGAGAUGGACAUUGAUUCACAUAUUGUAUUCUAUUUGUUUCAUCAAUUAAUUUAGAGGCGUUAUUACUUAUUUGAUAGUCAGAAAUACCUAGAUUUGUACUUUAGUUCUUUAGUAGCGUUAUCUCCUCUCCAUUACUAGAGCGUAGUAAUAAUGACGUCCUUUCAAUUUUUCAUGGAAAUUGGACUCAUGUGCUGAAGUGAAAACAAUGCUAGUCGUCAAUCAGUGUUAAUCUCAUGCUAUUUAUUCUUAUGAUUGUUCUCGUCGACACGUGAAUCUAUAUCUCGGGAGGAGUGCCAAUCUUUCAUGUAAAUCAAAUCAGUUACCAAAAUAUAUUGGUAAUUGAAUGAAGUACCGACUGUUAUUGCAAUUAUUAUUCUACGUAAGAUCUGCUGUUCAUAUAAAAUAGUAUGUAUCUCCACAUUCUCCACCCCCGGUGUGAAUGGUUACAGUUAUUAAUAGUCAAACAAGUGCAUAAUGUGACCUGAUUUAAUAAUUUAUAUUAAUCACUUGUUUUUAAAUGUUUUGUUAGCUAGUUUACGACGUGUACUUUGUGCACUGUGUGUGCAGAGUAAAUUUACAUAAGUGAUUAUAAUGCUUACUAUUGUAUCAUGGACAUUCUGGUAAAUAAAUUUAAGUGCCAUACUAAAUUUAUGAUGUA